rnacentral:rRNA from 1 species
GAUGAACGCUGGCGGCGUGCUUAACACAUGCAAGUCGAACGAUGAAGCCCAGCUUGCUGGGUGUAUUAGUGGCGAACGGGUGAGUAACACGUGAGUAACCUGCCCUUAACUCUGGGAUAAGCCUGGGAAACUGGGUCUAAUACCGGAUAGGAGCGUCCACCGCAUGGUGGGUGUUGGAAAGAUUUAUCGGUUUUGGAUGGACUCGCGGCCUAUCAGCUUGUUGGUGAGGUAAUGGCUCACCAAGGCGACGACGGGUAGCCGGCCUGAGAGGGUGACCGGCCACACUGGGACUGAGACACGGCCCAGACUCCUACGGGAGGCAGCAGUGGGGAAUAUUGCACAAUGGGCGCAAGCCUGAUGCAGCGACGCCGCGUGAGGGAUGACGGCCUUCGGGUUGUAAACCGCUUUCAGUAGGGAAGAAGCGAAAGUGACGGUACCUGCAGAAGAAGCACCGGCUAACUACGUG